AACGGCCAUACCAUGCUGAAUAUACCGGUUCUCGUUAGAUCACCAAAGUCAAGCAUCAUUGGGCGCGGUCAGUACUUGGGUGGGAA
rnacentral:rRNA from 1 species